rnacentral:ncRNA from 3 species
UGAAUCACACAAAGGCAACUUUU